ACACAUGCAAGUCGAGGGGCAUCAGGAAGAAAGCUUGCUUUCUUUGCUGGCGACCGGCGCACGGGUGAGUAACACGUAUCCAACCUGCCCUUUACUCGGGGAUAGCCUUUCGAAAGAAAGAUUAAUACCCGAUAGCAUAAUGAUUCCGCAUGGUUUCAUUAUUAAAGGAUUCCGGUAAAGGAUGGGGAUGCGUUCCAUUAGGUUGUUGGUGAGGUAACGGCUCACCAAGCCUUCGAUGGAUAGGGGUUCUGAGAGGAAGGUCCCCCACAUUGGAACUGAGACACGGUCCAAACUCCUACGGGAGGCAGCAGUGAGGAAUAUUGGUCAAUGGGCGCUAGCCUGAACCAGCCAAGUAGCGUGAAGGAUGAAGGCUCUAUGGGUCGUAAACUUCUUUUAUAUAAGAAUAAAGUGCAGUAUGUAUACUGUUUUGUAUGUAUUAUAUGAAUAAGGAUCGGCUAACUCCGUGCCAGCAGCCGCGGUAAUACGGAGGAUCCGAGCGUUAUCCGGAUUUAUUGGGUUUAAAGGGAGCGUAGGUGGACUGGUAAGUCAGUUGUGAAAGUUUGCGGCUCAACCGUAAAAUUGCAGUUGAUACUGUCAGUCUUGAGUACAGUAGAGGUGGGCGGAAUUCGUGGUGUAGCGGUGAAAUGCUUAGAUAUCACGAAGAACUCCGAUUGCGAAGGCAGCUCACUGGACUGCAACUGACACUGAUGCUCGAAAGUGUGGGUAUCAAACAGGAUUAGAUACCCUGGUAGUCCACACAG
rnacentral:rRNA from 1 species